GAUUUCCUUGGCAGAUCAUAUACUGUAAUGGGAACUACACAGAGAUCAGCAUGGCCCCUGCCCAAGGAUGACAUGAAAAUUUGUGAAACCUUCCAUAAUUUU